AGCCGCCACGGGAAAACGGAGGGUGCGAGCGUUAAUCGGAAUAACUGGGCGUAAAGGGCACGCAGGCGGUGACUUAAGUGAGGUGUGAAAGCCCCGGGCUUAACCUGGGAAUUGCAUUUCAUACUGGGUCGCUAGAGUACUUUAGGGAGGGGUAGAAUUCCACGUGUAGCGGUGAAAUGCGUAGAGAUGUGGAGGAAUACCGAAGGCGAAGGCAGCCCCUUGGGAAUGUACUGACGCUCAUGUGCGAAAGCGUGGGGAGCAAACAGGAUUAGAUACCCCAGUAGUCCCUGUCUCUUAUACA
rnacentral:rRNA from 1 species